AAUGUCCAAAAAUGUGUGGCUUCUCUGUCUUGCCUUAGUGUGAAACUGACAGGCUGUUAUGACUCAAGCAGUCUCCCUGAAUGGACAGACAGACAAAUAGACACACAAACAAGUGGACAGUCGGUCAGCCAGUGGAUAAUCUAUUGAUGAAAAGAUCCCCUGCUGGUUGAAAUGGUCCUCUUGAUCUAACCUUCUCCAUUUCAUUAUGAGGAAUGCAAAUCCUAUCAUUGCUCUGCGACUAUUUAUCACUCUGUCUUUUCUGUCAGAGGUGCUGAAUCACUGCUCAUGCUUGCUGUUUCCUUCAGAAGGCAUUAGCAAAGAGGCUAUUUGCCUGAGAAUGUUUGAUCUGUUCUGUUUUUGCUGUCUGGUCCUCCACCACAGUAUCUGGGACCAUAAAAUGAUUCCCAAUUCUGUGCCUGAGAGAAGGUGCUCAGAUUGACUCAAGGACCAUCCAAAAGGAGAGGCUAAGGCAAUCCUGGGAGCCUGGGGGUGAAGCGUGUCAAGCUCAAAUCUCAGUGAAAUCCCAAAGAGAAGAAAUCUGCCAGAGAAGAGGAUGGAAUGGACUUGGGUAGGUCAGGCCAUAAGCUGAUGAGGUUUCAGCAAAUUUCCCAGUUAUGGAAAGGAGCAAGGAACAUCCAAGGAUAUGAGAAAGAGGGG
rnacentral:lncRNA from 1 species